rnacentral:hammerhead_ribozyme from 1 species
AUCCGGCUGACGAAUCCUAAAUAGAACGAAACACUCGUCUUGAAU